rnacentral:rRNA from 1 species
UACAGAGGUCUCAAGCGUUGUUCGGAUUCAUUGGGCGUAAAGGGUGCGUAGGUGGCGCGCUAAGUCGGGUGUGAAAUCUCGGAGCUUAACUCCGAAAUUGCAUUCGAUACUGGCGUGCUUGAGGACUGGAGAGGAGACUGGAAUUCAUGGUGUAGCAGUGAAAUGCGUAGAGAUCAUGAGGAAGACCAGUGGCGAAGGCGGUUACCUGGACAGUUACUGACGCUCAGGCACGAAAGCAUGGGGAGCAAAAGGG